UACGGAGGGGGCGAGCGUUGUCCGGAAUCAUUGGGCGUAAAGCGCACGUAGGCGGACUGUUAAGUCGGGGGUGAAAUCCUGGGGCUCAACCUCAGAAUUGCCUCCGAUACUGGCAGUCUCGAGUGCGGGAGAGGUGAGUGGAAUUCCCAGUGUAGAGGUGAAAUUCGUAGAUAUUGGGAAGAACACCAGUGGCGAAGGCGGCUCACUGGCCCGUAACUGACGCUGAGGUGCGAAAGCGUGGGGAGCAAACAGG
rnacentral:rRNA from 1 species